CAGCCGUAAACUAUGCUCGCUAGGUGUCAGGCAUGGCGCGACCGUGUCUGGUGCCGCAGGGAAGCCGUGAAGCGAGCCACCUGGGAAGUACGGCCGCAAGGCUGAAACUUAAGGAAUUGGCGGGGGAGCACAACAACGGGUGGAGCCUGCGGUUUAAUUGGACUCAACGCCGGACAACUCACCGGGGACGACAGCAAUAUGUAGGCCAGGCUGAAGACCUUGCCGGAUUAGCUGAGAGGUGGUGCAUGGCGUAGACGUCU
rnacentral:rRNA from 1 species